UCUCGAUAGCGUAAAAGUUAACUCAAAUUUGUAUGCAGUUGGAACGUUUGCCGCUAAGGGCGUUGUUCCAACUGCACACAAAUUUGAGUUAACUUUUACGCUAUCGA
rnacentral:pre_miRNA from 9 species